UGAGUACGAGCUGCUACGGCAGCGAAGUGGGUGAUGUCAAGCUUCCAAGAAAAGCCCUAUACCCGUUAAGGCAUGACGGCCUGUACCCGAAGCCGACACAGGUGGGGUGGUAGAGAAUACCGAGGGGCGCGAGGUAACUCUCUCUAAGGAACUCGGCAAAAUGGCCCCGUAACUUCGGGAGAAGGGGUGCCACCGCAAGGUGGUCGCAGUGAAGAGGCCCAGGCGACUGUUUACCAAAAACACAGGUCUCCGCUAAGUCGCAAGACGAUGUAUGGGGGCUGACGCCUGCCCAGUGCCGGAAGGUUAAGGAAGCUGGUCAGCGCAAGCGAAGCUGGCGACUGAAGCCCCGGUGAACGGCGGCCGUAACUAUAACGGUCCUAAGGUAGCGAAAUUCCUUGUCGGGUAAGUUCCGACCCGCACGAAAGGCGUAACGAUCUGGGCGCUGUCUCGGAGAGAGGCUCGGCGAAAUAGAAUUGUCUGUGAAGAUGCGGACUACGUGCACCCGGACAGAAAGACCCUAUGAAGCUUUACUGUAGCUUGGUAUUGUGCCCGGGCUCUGAAUGCGCAGGAUAGGUGGGAGGCUUUGAUCCAUUGCUUGUGGGUGAUGGUGAGCCAACGGUGAGAUACCACUCUUUCAGAGCUAGGGUUCUAACGGUCACCCGUGAUCCGGGGACCGGACAGUAUCAGGUGGGCAGUUUGACUGAGGCGGUCGCCUCCUAAAAGGUAACGGAGGCGCGCAAAGGUUCCCUCAGGCUGGUUGGAAAUCAGCCGACGAGUGUAAAGGCAGAAGGGAGCUUGACUGUGAGACCUACAAGUCGAACAGGGACGAAAGUCGGCCUUAGUGAUCCGACGGUUCUGAGUGGAAGGGCCGUCGCUCAACGGAUAAAAGUUACUCUAAGGAUAACAGGCUGAUCUCCCCCAAGAGUUCACAUCGACGGGGAGGUUUGGCACCUCGAUGUCGGCUCAUCGCAACCUGGGGCUGAAGUCGGUCCCAAGGGUUGGGCUGUUCGCCCAUUAAAGUGGUACGCGAGCUGGGUUCAGAACGUCGUGAGACAGUUCGGUCCAUAUCCGGUGCAUGCGCAGGAAUAUUGAGAGGAUUUCUCCCUAGUACGAGAGGACCGGGAGGAACGCACCUCUGGUGUGCCAGUUAUCGUGCCAACGGUAAACGCUGGGUAGCCAUGUGCGGAGAGGAUAACCGCUGAAAGCAUCUAAGUGGGAAGCCCACCUCAAGAUGAGUAUUCCCAUGGCGUUAGCCAGUAAGGUCACGGGCAGAACACCCGUUGAUAGGCUCUACGUGGAAGCCGGGUAACCGGUGAAGCGGAGGAGUACUAAUAGACCGAGGGCUUGACC
rnacentral:rRNA from 1 species